rnacentral:rRNA from 1 species
GACGAACGCUGGCGGCGUGCCUAAUACAUGCAAGUCGAACGCACUCUCGUUUAGAUUGAAGGAGCUUGCUCCUGAUUGAUAAACAUUUGAGUGAGUGGCGGACGGGUGAGUAACACGUGGGUAACCUGCCCUAAAGUGGGGGAUAACAUUUGGAAACAGAUGCUAAUACCGCAUAAAACCUAAACACCGCAUGGUGUAGGGUUGAAAGAUGGUUUCGGCUAUCACUUUAGGAUGGACCCGCGGUGCAUUAGUUAGUUGGUGAGGUAAAGGCUCACCAAGACCGUGAUGCAUAGCCGACCUGAGAGGGUAAUCGGCCACACUGGGACUGAGACACGGCCCAGACUCCUACGGGAGGCAGCAGUAGGGAAUCUUCCACAAUGGACGAAAGUCUGAUGGAGCAACGCCGCGUGAGUGAAGAAGGUUUUCGGAUCGUAAAACUCUAGUUGUUGGAGAAGAAUGUAUCUGAUAGUAACUGAUCAGGUAGUGACGGUAUCCAACCAGAAAGCCAACGG